rnacentral:rRNA from 1 species
AGAGUUUGAUCCUGGCUCAGGAUGAGCGCUGGCGGCGUGCCUAACACAUGCAAGUCGAGCGAUUCUCUUCGGAGAAGAGCGGCGGACGGGUGAGUAACGCGUGGGUAACCUGCCCUGUACACACGGAUAACAUACCGAAAGGUAUGCUAAUACGAGAUAAUAUGCUUUUAUCGCAUGGUAGAAGUAUCAAAGCUCCGGCGGUACAGGAUGGACCCGCGUCUGAUUAGCUAGUUGGUAAGGUAACGGCUUACCAAGGCGACGAUCAGUAGCCGACCUGAGAGGGUGAUCGGCCACAUUGGAACUGAGACACGGUCCAAACUCCUACGGGAGGCAGCAGUGGGGAAUAUUGCACAAUGGGCGAAAGCCUGAUGCAGCAACGCCGCGUGAGCGAUGAAGGCCUUCGGGUCGUAAAGCUCUGUCCUCAAGGAAGAUAAUGACGGUACUUGAGGAGGAAGCCCCGGCUAACUACGUGCCAGCAGCCGCGGUAAUACGUAGGGGGCUAGCGUUAUCCGGAAUUACUGGGCGUAAAGGGUGCGUAGGUGGUUUCUUAAGUCAGAGGUGAAAGGCUACGGCUCAACCGUAGUAAGCCUUUGAAACUGGGAAACUUGAGUGCAGGAGAGGAGAGUGGAAUUCCUAGUGUAGCGGUGAAAUGCGUAGAUAUUAGGAGGAACACCAGUUGCGAAGGCGGCUCUCUGGACUGUAACUGACACUGAGGCACGAAAGCGUGGGAGCAAACAGGAUUAGAUACCCUGGUAGUCCACGCCGUAAACGAUGAGUACUAGCUGUCGGAGGUUACCCCCUUCGGUGGCGCAGCUAACGCAUUAAGUACUCCGCCUGGGAAGUACGCUCGCAAGAGUGAAACUCAAAGGAAUUGACGGGGACCCGCACAAGUAGCGGAGCAUGUGGUUUAAUUCGAAGCAACGCGAAGAACCUUACCUAAGCUUGACAUCCUUUUGACCGAUGCCUAAUCGCAUCUUUCCCUUCGGGGACAGAAGUGACAGGUGGUGCAUGGUUGUCGUCAGCUCGUGUCGUGAGAUGUUGGGUUAAGUCCCGCAACGAGCGCAACCCUUGCCUUUAGUUGCCAGCAUUAAGUUGGGCACUCUAGAGGGACUGCCAGGGAUAACCUGGAGGAAGGUGGGGAUGACGUCAAAUCAUCAUGCCCCUUAUGCUUAGGGCUACACACGUGCUACAAUGGGUGGUACAGAGGGCAGCCAAGUCGUGAGGCGGAGCUAAUCCCUUAAAGCCAUUCUCAGUUCGGAUUGUAGGCUGAAACUCGCCUACAUGAAGCUGGAGUUACUAGUAAUCGCAGAUCAGAAUGCUGCGGUGAAUGCGUUCCCGGGUCUUGUACACACCGCCCGUCACACCACGGGAGUUGGGGGCGCCCGAAGCCGGAUUGCUAACCUUUUGGAAGCGUCCGUCGAAGGUGAAAUCAAUAACUGGGGUGAAGUCGUAACAAGGUA